GGAUGAGCCCGCGGCCUAUCAGCUUGUUGGUGGGGUAAUGGCCUACCAAGGCGAGGACGGGUAGCCGGCCUGAGAGGGUGACCGGCCACACUGGGAUUGAGACACGGCCCAGACUCGUACGGGAGGCAGCAGUGGGGAAUAUUGUACAAUGGGAGAAAGCAUGAUCCAGCAACGCCGCGUGAGGGAUGACGGCAUUCGGGUUGUAAACUUAUUUCAGUAGGGACGAAGCUAAAGUGACGGUACCUACAGAAGAAGCACCGGCCAACUACGUGACAGCAGCCGCGGCCG
rnacentral:rRNA from 1 species